UACGUAGGGGGCUAGCGUUGUCCGGAAUCAUUGGGCGUAAAGAGCGUGUAGGCGGCCCGGUAAGUCCGCUGUGAAAGUCAAGGGCUCAACCCUUGGAUGCCGGUGGAUACUGCAGGGCUAGAGUCCGGAAGAGGCGAGUGGAAUUCCUGGUGUAGCGGUGAAAUGCGCAGAUAUCAGGAGGAACACCGAUGGCGAAGGCAGCUCGCUGGGACGGUACUGACGCUGAGGCGCGAAAGCGUGGGGAGCAAACAGG
rnacentral:rRNA from 1 species